AGUAUUAAUCCCUGCUGCAGUUGUGCAUCCCCACUGACGUCAGACUCCAGUUUCUCCAGGAUCCAGUGUAUACUGAAGAUCAGUUGCUCUCCAGGAGUCUUCAAGGCACCAGGUUUGGAAGGGCUGGGGCAGCCAGCUUUGUAACCUGAGCAGCUCCCAGGUUCCAGCCAUUGACUGGGCUGUGUGGACCCACCCAGCACACUUAAGGGAUACUAGGAGAUGGAGAAAUCAGAGGGAAGAACAUCUGUUUCCCAGGUCACAGCAGAGAAUGGCAUGGAGAACCCAGGCCUGGAACUCAAGGAAAGCAGAAAUCUUGAGCAAGGCAAAAAACUAGAGGAAGUGACACAGGGGUACAGCCUGGAGGAUGGCUUGGGGCAUUCCUCUUUCUGGAGGUAAGCGUGUUCUAGAAUCCCAACCAAGGGGGAUGGGAGGGCAGGGAAGAAAAGUGACCGAGAGGCUACUCAUUCUCAGAUCGCUUAACUCACAGACAGGACCAGGAUCACUGCAUGUUACUAUGUAAAUGUGUGUGUAUUUUAUAGAAGUAAUUGAGCAUAAGCCCAUGACAUAGACA